rnacentral:rRNA from 1 species
AGGGUUUGAUCCUGGCUCAGAACGUACGCUGGCGGCACGCCUAACACAUGCAAGUCGAACGAAGUAGCAAUACUUAGUGGCAGACGGGUGAGUAACAUGUGGGUAUCUGCCCUUUGGCCUGGAAUAACACGAGGAAACUUGUGCUAAUACCUCAUAAGUCUUUACGGAGAAAGCUUUAUGCGCCGAAGGAUGAGCCUGCACUUGAUUAGUUUGUUGGUGGGGUAAUGGCCUACCAAGACUUUGAUCAAUAGCUGAUUUGAGAGGAUGAUCAGCCACAUUGGGACUGAGACACGGCCCAAACUCCUACGGGAGGCAGCAGUGGGGAAUCUUGCACAAUGGAGGAAACUCUGAUGCAGCGAUGCCGCGUGAGUGAAGAAGGCCCUUGGGUUGUAAAGCUCUUUCGUCGGGGAAGAAAAUGACUGUACCCGAAUAAGAAGGUCCGGCUAACUUCGUGCCAGCAGCCGCGGUAAUACGAAGGGACCUAGCGUAGUUCGGAAUUACUGGGCUUAAAGAGUUCGUAGGUGGUUAAAAAAGUUGGUGGUGAAAUCCCAGAGCUUAACUCUGGAACUGCCAUCAAAACUUUUUAGCUAGAGUAUGAUAGAGGAAAGCAGAAUUUCUAGUGUAGAGGUGAAAUUCGUAGAUAUUAGAAAGAAUACCAAUUGCGAAGGCAGCUUUCUGGAUCAUUACUGACACUGAGGAACGAAAGCAUGGGUAGCGAAGAGGAUUAGAUACCCUCGUAGUCCAUGCCGUAAACGAUGUGUGUUAGACGUUGGAAAUUUAUUUUCAGUGUCGCAGCGAAAGCGAUAAACACACCGCCUGGGGAGUACGACCGCAAGGUUAAAACUCAAAUGAAUUGACGGGGACCCGCACAAGUAGUGGAGCAUGUGGUUUAAUUCGAAGAUACGCGCAGAACCUUACCAACACUUGACAUGUUCGUCGCGACUUUAAGAGAUUAAAGUUUUCGGUUCGGCCGGACGAAACACAGGUGCUGCAUGGCUGUCGUCAGCUCGUGUCGUGAGAUGUUGGGUUAAGUCCCGCAACGAGCGCAACCCUCACUUUUAGUUGCCAUCAUUAAGUUGGGCACUCUGAAAGAACUGCCAGUGAUAAGCUGGAGGAAGGUGGGGAUGACGUCAAGUCCUCAUGGCCCUUACGUGUUGGGCUACACACGUGCUACAAUGGUAUCUACAACAGGAAGCGAAACAGCGAUGUUAAGCAAAUCCUUAAAAGAUACCUCAGUUCGGAUUGCACUCUGCAACUCGAGUGCAUGAAGCUGGAAUUACUAGUAAUCGUGGAUCAGCGUGCCACGGUGAAUGCGUUCCCGGGUCUUGUACACACCGCCCGUCACACCAUGGGAGUUGGUUCUACCUUAAGGCAAGGUUUAAUACCCUUGACCACGGUAUAGUCAGCGACUGGGGUGAAGUCGUAACAAGGUAGCCGUA